rnacentral:sRNA from 2 species
UGUUUGCACUUAGCGGGAAGGGUAAGAACCUUCGACUAAGGUUCGACUCGAGCGCCAGCGAGAGAACGUUGCCGCAGGCAACGGCCCGAAGGGCGAGGAGCGAUAGCGACGAGUUAUCCUUCCCCCACCACUG